AAAAAGUAAUAAUGAAAAAGACGACAUUUUUCAGGUUGAUUGAUUUUUUACUUAUCAGCUGGUGUCGUUUUUUCCUUCUUUGAAUGCAACUCACACAACAAAUCUGAGAAACGUUUCUCAGUUCAAGUACCAUCAUCACGAUGAAGAUCAGCAACGCUGCA
rnacentral:ribozyme from 14 species